CGGACGGGUGAGUAACGCGUGAAGAAUCUGCCCUUUAGUCUGGGACAACAGUUGGAAACGACUGCUAAUACCGGAUAAACUCCUACUAAGGCAUCUUAGGUGGAGAAAAGCUUCGGCGCUAAAGGAGGACUUCGCGUCCUAUUAGCUAGUUGGUGAGGUAAAGGCUCACCAAGGCGACGAUAGGUAGCCGGCCUGAGAGGGUGAACGGCCACAAGGGAACUGACACACGGUCCAGACUCC
rnacentral:rRNA from 1 species